AAAGAAAUCAGUUCAGCACUAAGUCACUUUGUCUAUAUGGCAAAUGUGAGAUGCAGUGUAUGGAACAUCAAUAUUCUAGUAUGAGAAAUUAACGAUUUAAGUCCUUCUUAAAUGAGGCCAUUUACCCACAGAGGGUGCCAGGCCCGUAUAACGUUAAUGAUUACUAGAUGGUGUUUCCAAAGAGUCGUGUUGCUUGAUAGUGCAGCACUAAGUGGGUGGUAAACUCCAUCUAAAACUAAAUAUAACCAUGAGACCGAUAGUAAACAAGUACCGUGAGGGAAAGUUGAAAAGAACUCUGAAUAGAGAGUUAAAUAGUACGUGAAACUGCUUAGAGGUUAAGCCCGAUGAACCUGAAUAUCCGUUAUGGAAAAUUCAUCAUUAGAAUUGUAAUGUUUAAAAAAUAUUAUAAUAAUAGUGUGCAUUUUUUCCAUAUAAGGACAUUGUAAUCUAUUAGCAUAUUAAUUUAUCAUACAUUUAUGUCAUUUUGUUUGUUUCAAUUAAAGUGCUUGCAUUUUAACAUGAAAUAAAAGUUGUAAUAUUGAUAAAGUGCUGAUAGAUUUAUAAGAUUACAGUGCGUUAAUUUUUCGGAAUUAUAUAAUGGCAUGAUUAUCAUUGAUUUUUAUGUUUAUUAUAUGCACUUGUAUGAUUAA
rnacentral:rRNA from 1 species